rnacentral:rRNA from 1 species
UACGUAGGGGGCGAGCGUUGUCCGGAGUUACUGGGCGUAAAGCGCUUGUAGGCGGUCCACCAAGUUUGGGGUGACAGUUGCCGACUUAAUCGGCAAAGUGCCUCAAAGACUGGCGGACUUGAGGGCCACAGAGGGACAUGGAACUCCAGGUGUAGUGGUGAAAUGCGCAGAUAUCAGGAGGAACACCGGUGGCGAAGGCGGGUCUCUGGGCCGUUACUGACGCUGAGGAGCGAAAGCGUGGGGAGCGAACAGG